rnacentral:rRNA from 1 species
UACGGAGGGUGCAAGCGUUAUCCGGAUUCACUGGGUUUAAAGGGUGCGUAGGUGGGUUUGUAAGUCAGUGGUGAAAUCUCCGUGCUUAACAUGGAAACUGCCAUUGAUACUAUAGAUCUUGAAUUUUCUGGAGGAUAGCGGAAUAUGUCAUGUAGCGGUGAAAUGCUUAGAUAUGACAUAGAACACCAAUUGCGAAGGCAGCUAUCUAACAGGGAUAUUGACACUGAGGCACGAAAGCCGUGGGGAUCAAACAGG